CACUCUUGGAGUCUGUUCCUCUCCUCUCAGCGUCCAUUCAGCUCCUUGGAACCCGAAAAACCCUUCAAAGCCCGAGGUCCUCGACGCACUCAAAUCUGUAACAAAGGCUUCCAGCGCGACCAGAACCUACAGCUUCACCGGCGCGGCCACAACUUGCCGUGGAAGCUGCGACAGCGAGGGAGCAAAGAGCCGCGGAAGAAAGCUUACGUGUGUCCCGAACCUUCCUGAGUCCACCACAACCCCGCAAGGGCGCUCGGCGACCUCACCGGCAUCAAGAAGCACUUCUGCAGAAAACACGGUGAGAAAAAGUAGCAAUGCGAACGUUGUUCUAAGAAAUACGACGUACACUCCGAUUGGAAGGCUCAUAUGAAAACUUGCGGUACCAGAGAAUACAGAUGCGACUGCGGAACCUUGUUCUCUAGGAGGGAUAGCUUCAUCACACACAGAGCAUUUUGCGAUGUCUUAGCGCAAGAGAGCGCGAGGGCCCAGAGUUUAAUCUCUAGAUUUUCCAUGAAAGAGGAAGAAAGAACGGUUGGAAUGGGAGGAAGUCCAGAGGGUAACAAGCCGAAGAUGGGAGUGAGAACAAGGAUGAAGAGAGGCAGCAGAGGACAUGUCUGAAGACUUGUCAGAAGGGGAAAAAGGUGAUAGUGUUGUGGAGAUGGUGCAAAGUGAUACCCCAAAGAAAAAAUUCCAGCACCAGACUUCAAACUUAGAAGUAUGGUCUGAUGACAAAAAGGAAAAGAAACUCUAUGUUGUCCUCU